UACGAAGGGGGCUAGCGUUGCUCGGAAUCACUGGGCUUAAAGGGCGCGUAGGCGGGCUGACAAGUCUGGGGUGAAAUGCCGCGGCUCAACCGUGGAACUGCCUCAGAUACUGUCGGCCUCGAGGAAGGUAGGGGCAUGCGGAACUGUAGGUGGAGCGGUGAAAUGCGUUGAUAUCUACAGGAACUCCGGUGGCGAAAGCGGCGUGCUGGACCUUUUCUGACGCUAAGGCGCGAAAGCUAGGGGAGCAAACGGG
rnacentral:rRNA from 1 species